CCUACGGGCGGCAGCAGUGAGGAAUAUUGGUCAAUGGGCGUAAGCCUGAACCAGCCAAGUCGCGUGAGGGAUGAAUGUUCUAUGGGUUGUACACCUCUUUUAUAAGGGAAUAAAGUGUGGGACGUGUCCUCUUUUGUAUGUACUUUCUGAAUCAGGAUCGGCUAACUCCGUGCCAGCAGCCGCGGUAAUCCGGAGGAUCCGAGCGUUAUCCGGAUUUAUUGGGUUUAAAGGGUGCGUAGGCGGUGUUUUAAGUCAGCGGGGAAAGUUUGUGGCUCAACCAUAGAAUUGCCGUGGAUACUGGGAGGCUUGAGUACAGUUGAGGUAGGCGGAAUUCGUGGUGUAGCGGUGAAAUGCUUAGAUAUCACGAAGAACUCCGAUUGCGAAGGCAGCCUACUAAAC
rnacentral:rRNA from 1 species